rnacentral:rRNA from 1 species
UGGCGCACGGGUGCGUAACGCGUGGGAAUCUGCCCUCUGGUACGGAAUAACUCAGGGAAACUUGAGCUAAUACCGUAUAACGACUUCGGUCCAAAGAUUUAUCGCCUGAGGAUGAGCCCGCGUCGGAUUAGCUAGUUGGUGAGGUAAAAGCUCACCAAGGCGACGAUCCGUAGCUGGUCUGAGAGGAUGAUCAGCCACACUGGGACUGAGACACGGCCCAG